rnacentral:rRNA from 1 species
AGAGUUUGAUCCUGGCUCAGGAUGAACGCUGGCGGCGUGCCUAAUACAUGCAAGUCGAACGCGAGCAGCAAUGCUCGAGUGGCGAACGGGUGAGUAAUACAUAAGUAACCUGCCCUAGACAGGGGGAUAACUGCUGGAAACGGCAGCUAAGACCGCAUAGGUAUGGACACUGCAUGGUGACCAUAUUAAAAGUGCCAAGGCACUGGUAGAGGAUGGACUUAUGGCGCAUUAGCUGGUUGGUGAGGUAACGGCUCACCAAGGCGACGAUGCGUAGCCGACCUGAGAGGGUGACCGGCCACACUGGGACUGAGACACGGCCCAGACUCCUACGGGAGGCAGCAGUAGGGAAUUUUCGGCAAUGGGGGGAACCCUGACCGAGCAACGCCGCGUGAAGGAAGAAGGAAUUCGUUCUGUAAACUUCUGUUAUAAAGGAAGAACGGCGGAUAUAGGGAAUGAUAUCCGAGUGGCGGUACUUUAUGAGAAAGCCACGGCUAACUACGUGCCAGCAGCCGCGGUAAGACCUAGCUU